rnacentral:rRNA from 1 species
GAUGAACGCUGGCGGCGUGCUUAACACAUGCAAGUCGAACGCGAAAGGGACUUCGGUCCUGAGUAAAGUGGCGCACGGGUGAGUAACGCGUGGAUAAUCUGCCCUUAUGAUUGGAAUAACAGUUGGAAACGGCUGCUAAUACCGGAUACGCUCAAAAUGAAUUUUUUGAGGAAAGAUGGCCUCUGCUUGCAUGCUAUCGCAUAAGGAUGAGUCCGCGUCCCAUUAGCUUGUUGGCGGGGUAACGGCCCACCAAGGCAACGAUGGGUAGCCGAUUUGAGAGGAUGAUCGGCCACACUGGAACUGAAACACGGUCCAGACUCCUACGGGAGGCAGCAGUGGGGAAUAUUGCGCAAUGGGCGAAAGCCUGACGCAGCGACGCCGCGUGAGGGAUGAAGGUUUUCGGAUCGUAAACCUCUGUCAGAAGGGAAGAAACUACGUUGUGCUAAUCAGCAGCGUACUGACGGUACCUUCAAAGGAAGCACCGGCUAACUCCGUGCCAGCCGCCGCGGUAA